rnacentral:rRNA from 1 species
UUCGGAACGGACGCUAAUACCGCAUACGUCCUACGGGAGAAAGCAGGGGUACCUUCGGGCCUUGCGCUAUCAGAUGAGCCUAGGUCGGAUUAGCUAGUUGGUGAGGUAAUGGCUCACCAAGGCUACGAUCCGUAACUGGUCUGAGAGGAUGAUCAGUCACACUGGAACUGAGACACGGUCCAGACUCCUACGGGAGGCAGCAGUGGGGAAUAUUGGACAAUGGGCGAAAGCCUGAUCCAGCCAUGCCGCGUGUGUGAAGAAGGUCUUCGGAUUGUAAAGCACUUUAAGUUGGGAGGAAGGGCAUUAACCUAAUACGUUAGUGUUUUGACGUUACCGACAGAAGAAGCACCGGCUAACUCCGUGCCAGCAGCCGCGGUAAUACGGAGGGUGCGAGCGUUAAUCGGAAUUACUGGGCGUAAAGCGUACGCAGGCGGUUUGUUAAGCGAGAUGUGAAAGCCCCGGGCUCAACCUGGGAACUGCAUUUCGAACUGGCAAACUAGAGUGUGAUAGAGGGUGGUAGAAUUUCAGGUGUAGCGGUGAAAUGCGUAGAGAUCUGAAGGAAUNANCNCNGANUGGNCGAAGGCAGCCACCUGGGUCAACACUGACGCUCAUGUACGAAAGCGUGGGGAGCAAANGGAAAAANGAUACCCCGGUAGUCCACGCCGUAAACGAUGUCUACUAGAAGCUCGGAGCCUCGGUUCUGUUUUUCAAAGCUAACGCAUUAAGUAGACCGCCUGGGGAGUACGGCCGCAAGGUUAAAACUCAAAUGAAUUNGACGGGGGCCCGCNACAAGCNGGUGGAGCAUGUGGUUUAAUUNCGAUGCAACGCGNAAGAACCNUUACCUACACNUUGNACNAUACAGANGAACUUANCCANGANGAUGGNUUUGGUGCCUUCNGGGAACUCNUGANUANCAGGUGCUGCAUGGCUNGUCGUCAGCUCNGUGUUGUGNAGANUGUNGGGUUAAGUNCCCGCAACNGAGNCGCAACCCCUAUCCUUAGUUGCUNAGCAGGNUAAUNGNCUGANGAACUCUNAAGGAGACUGNCCGNGUGAUAAACCGGAGGAAGGUGGGGACGACGUCAAGUCNAUCNAUGGNCCCUUANCGUNGUANGGGCUACACNACNGUGNCUACAANUNGGCGCANUACAGAGUGCUGNCGAACCUGCGANANGGUAAGCGAANUCANCUUAAAGUGCGUCGUAGUCCGGAUUGGAGUCUGCAACUCGACUCCAUGAAGUCGGAAUCGCUAGUAAUCGCGUAUCAGAAUGACGCGGUGAAUACGUUCCCGGGCCUUGUACACACCGCCCGUCACACCAUGGGAGUGGGUUGCUCCAGAAGUAGAUAGUCUAACCCUCGGGAGGACGUUUACCCACGGAGUGAUUCAUGACUGGGGUGAAGUCGUUAACAAGGGUAACCA